AGCGUACACGGUGGAUGCCCUGGCAGUCAGAGGCGAUGAAGGACGUGCUAAUCUGCGAAAAGCGUCGGUAAGGUGAUAUGAACCGUUAUAACCGGCGAUGUCCGAAUGGGGAAACCCAGUGCAAUUCGUUGCACUAUCGUUAACUGAAUACAUAGGUUAACGAGGCGAACCGGGGGAACUGAAACAUCUAAGUACCCCGAGGAAAAGAAAUCAACCGAGAUUCCCCCAGUAGCGGCGAGCGAACGGGGAGCAGCCCAGAGUCUGAAUCAGCUUGUGUGUUAGUGGAACGGUCUGGAAAGUCCGACGGUACAGGGUGAUAGUCCCGUACACCAAAAUGCACAGGUUGUGAACUCGAAGAGUAGGGCGGGACACGUGGUAUCCUGUCUGAAUAUGGGGGGACCAUCCUCCAAGGCUAAAUACUCCUGACUGACCGAUAGUGAACCAGUACCGUGAGGGAAAGGCGAAAAGAACCCCGGCGAGGGGAGUGAAAAAGAACCUGAAACCGUGUACGUACAAGCAGUGGGAGCACCUUCGGGUGUGACUGCGUACCUUUUGUAUAAUGGGUCAGCGACUUAUAUUCUGUAGCAAGGUUAACCGAAUAGGGGAGCCGAAGGGAAACCGAGUCUUAACUGGGCGUUAAGUUGCAGGGUAUAGACCCGAAACCCGGUGAUCUAGCCAUGGGCAGGUUGAAGGUUGGGUAACACUAACUGGAGGACCGAACCGACUAAUGUUGAAAAAUUAGCGGAUGACUUGUGGCUGGGGGUGAAAGGCCAAUCAAACCGGGAGAUAGCUGGUUCUCCCCGAAAGCUAUUUAGGUAGCGCCUCGUGAAUUCAUCUUCGGGGGUAGAGCACUGUUUCGGCUAGGGGGUCAUCCCGACUUACCAACCCGAUGCAAACUACGAAUACCGAAGAAUGUUAUCACGGGAGACACACGGCGGGUGCUAACGUCCGUCGUGAAGAGGGAAACAACCCAGACCGCCAGCUAAGGUCCCAAAGUCAUGGUUAAGUGGGAAACGAUGUGGGAAGGCACAGACAGCCAGGAUGUUGGCUUAGAAGCAGCCAUCAUUUAAAGAAAGCGUAAUAGCUCACUGGUCGAGUCGGCCUGCGCGGAAGAUGUAACGGGGCUAAACCAUGCACCGAAGCUGCGGCAGCGACACUAUGUGUUGUUGGGUAGGGGAGCGUUCUGUAAGCCUGCGAAGGUGUGCUGUGAGGCAUGCUGGAGGUAUCAGAAGUGCGAAUGCUGACAUAAGUAACGAUAAAGCGGGUGAAAAGCCCGCUCGCCGGAAGACCAAGGGUUCCUGUCCAACGUUAAUCGGGGCAGGGUGAGUCGACCCCUAAGGCGAGGCCGAAAGGCGUAGUCGAUGGGAAACAGGUUAAUAUUCCUGUACUUGGUGUUACUGCGAAGGGGGGACGGAGAAGGCUAUGUUAGCCGGGCGACGGUUGUCCCGGUUUAAGCAUGUAGGCUGGUUGUCCAGGCAAAUCCGGAUAAUCAAGGCUGAGGUGUGAUGACGAGGCACUACGGUGCUGAAGUAACAAAUGCCCUGCUUCCAGGAAAAGCCUCUAAGCAUCAGGUAACAUCAAAUCGUACCCCAAACCGACACAGGUGGUCAGGUAGAGAAUACCAAGGCGCUUGAGAGAACUCGGGUGAAGGAACUAGGCAAAAUGGUGCCGUAACUUCGGGAGAAGGCACGCUGGUGUGUAGGUGAAGCCCCUGCGGGUGGAGCUGAGACCAGUCGAAGAUACCAGCUGGCUGCAACUGUUUAUUAAAAACACAGCACUGUGCAAACACGAAAGUGGACGUAUACGGUGUGACGCCUGCCCGGUGCCGGAAGGUUAAUUGAUGGGGUUAUCCGUAAGGAGAAGCUCUUGAUCGAAGCCCCGGUAAACGGCGGCCGUAACUAUAACGGUCCUAAGGUAGCGAAAUUCCUUGUCGGGUAAGUUCCGACCUGCACGAAUGGCGUAAUGAUGGCCAGGCUGUCUCCACCCGAGACUCAGUGAAAUUGAACUCGCUGUGAAGAUGCAGUGUACCCGCGGCAAGACGGAAAGACCCCGUGAACCUUUACUAUAGCUUGACACUGAACAUUGAGCCUUGAUGUGUAGGAUAGGUGGGAGGCUUUGAAGCGUGGACGCCAGUCUGCGUGGAGCCAACCUUGAAAUACCACCCUUUAAUGUUUGAUGUUCUAACGUUGGCCCCUUACCGGGGUUGCGGACAGUGUCUGGUGGGUAGUUUGACUGGGGCGGUCUCCUCCCAAAGCGUAACGGAGGAGCACGAAGGUUAGCUAAUCCUGGUCGGACAUCAGGAGGUUAGUGCAAUGGCAUAAGCUAGCUUGACUGCGAGCGUGACGGCGCGAGCAGGUGCGAAAGCAGGUCAUAGUGAUCCGGUGGUUCUGAAUGGAAGGGCCAUCGCUCAACGGAUAAAAGGUACUCCGGGGAUAACAGGCUGAUACCGCCCAAGAGUUCAUAUCGACGGCGGUGUUUGGCACCUCGAUGUCGGCUCAUCACAUCCUGGGGCUGAAGCAGGUCCCAAGGGUACGGCUGUUCGCCGUUUAAAGUGGUACGCGAGCUGGGUUUAAAACGUCGUGAGACAGUUUGGUCCCUAUCUUCUGUGGGCGUAGGAGAAUUGAGAGGGUUUGUCCCUAGUACGAGAGGACCGGGAUGAACGCACCACUGGUGGAUCAGUUGUCGCGCCAGCGGCAUAGCUGAGUAGCUAUGUGCGGAAUGGAUAACCGCUGAAAGCAUCUAAGCGGGAAGCCAGCCUCGAGAUAAGUUCUCCCUGUCGCAAGACACUAAAGGGCCGAUGAAGACUACAUCGUUGAUAGGCCGGAGGUGGAAGCGCUGCGAAGCGUGGAGCUGACCGGUACUAAUAGCCCGUGCGCCUUAUAU
rnacentral:rRNA from 1 species